UACGGAGGGUGCAAGCGUUAUCCGGAUUCACUGGGUUUAAAGGGUGCGUAGGUGGGCAAGUAAGUCAGUGGUGAAAUCUCCGGGCUUAACCCGGAAACUGCCAUUGAUACUAUUUGUCUUGAAUACUGUGGAGGUCAGCGGAAUAUGUCAUGUAGCGGUGAAAUGCUUAGAUAUGACAUAGAACACCAAUUGCGAAGGCAGCUGGCUACACAAAUAUUGACACUGAGGCACGAAAGCGAGGGGAUCAAACAGG
rnacentral:rRNA from 1 species